UAAAGAUAGAAGAAAGAUACAUGGAAAAUUAAACUCAAGAGUAAAAAAUACAAAGUAGAAAAAUGCAUAAAAAGUUACAAAAUACAGUAAGUGAAAAAUGCAUAAGUAGUUAAAGUAGAGAAUAAAAAAUAACAACAAUAUUUACAGUAUGAAAAAAUGAAAAAAGAAUAUCAGGUAUUUUCGUAAAUAAAAAUUGAAACUUGAAAAUACAAUAGAAAAAUAUGAACUGGAAAUAUUCAAAUGAGUACCAAUGGGAAGAAUACAUACCGCAUUGAAAUCGUGCAGAGUCAACUUACGUGAAUGCAGAAUCAGUGAAGAAGUUCUUCUAAAGCUCGGAGAGUUCGGUCGCUUGAGAUAUGGUUUUCGUAGUCGCUUAUCAGCUAGAUAUGGAAUCAAUCCCAGCAAGAUUUCGAGAUGGAAACUCUGCGGUAGUACUGGAAGAUCGUUCUCGGUUGGACCCUGUUUAUCGAUUAUUGUCUCAAUUUCAUGAAGGUAGAUGAUUCGUCGUGUAUUACUGAAUAAUACAGCCUUGUAUCGGAGCCAAGCGCGAAAAUCUUUGCAAAGCUGAUCAUUUUCCUUAGUAUAAUUGGAGCUGGAACAGGCGCUGCUUCGUGUACGUGAGCUGGAGCUGAUGGUUG